rnacentral:lncRNA from 1 species
GAAUAUAAUCUUAUGGGGCAUUAUUGUAUUUUAUGUAGCCGCUAGCUAGCUAGUCAGAAAAUACUUUUUUGAACAUUUCGCAGGAUAUGUUGUAGACGGCAAAAGUAGCUGUGGGUGCUACAGUAGCGCCUGAAUCAGGACGUUGACAUGUAAAAAAAAAUAUAUAUAUCCAUUCUGGGAACAAGUAAAUUCAUAGCCAACUCAACCCUCUUCAGUCCAGGCUAAAUUAACCACGCGUUUACCUUCCUUCAUGCCACAUGACACACACCUAGCCAGCUAAGAUUACAUUUUGCCAUUAGUUUACACAGUGGCAAGAUGUAGUAGGUACCAAAUAAUAGAUUUCAUUUCACUAACAAUUUGUUUUUGCACAGGAUUGUGGCGAUUGCAUACUGCUACUGCCUUAAAUGGAACCACUUAAUUUCCAUCCAGGGAAGGGGGACCGAGAUUACUAGGUUUUAAUUAUAUUUUGCACGAUAUACCCCUCCCCACGCACACAUACCUGAACACUUGAAAAGCAGUUGAAACAGAACAGAGAUAGUGGUUCGCAUUUUUCUACUAUGGUUAUACUCUGUCAUCACACGUUGACUUGCUCCCAGACAAUGAGACAGGUUGGCACAACACCACCGGUGUAAUGCACUGUAUCAAAUUACAGACCAUGACAAAAGGUGCAGGAACUCCACAAUACUUCUGAGCUAAUAUUCUGCUGUGCAUCACAACAAGUAGAUCAUUUGAUGUGUCAAUACUCAGUGCCGAUCAGGCAGAUCUUCAAGCAGUGUGCCCCAGCAGACGUCGCAGUUGUGCCCUGGUUAACACCCCCUCACUGUGUGCCAACAAAGCUGUUUGCCAUAUUCAGGAGCUGAAGAGGCAACUGGAGAACUGGUGUCAACAGUCAGGAAAUGUUCAGCAUCAGAUGUCUCAUGAAAAACAGAAAAAUAGCAAAACUUUUAGGUAAGUAGUGUCGUGUUUAUCCAAUGUUAGUCUUCAUCCAAAGCUUUACAUUUACAGCAAUUAAAGGGAUAGUUCACCCAUAUUG